rnacentral:tRNA from 1 species
GUAGUUGUGGCUGAGUUGUUAAGGUGAUGGACUUGAAAUCUAUUGGGAAUUCCCUGUGCGGGUUUGAUUCCUGUUGGCUAGG